AUUACAGUUGUUUAACUUCAUUGGUUGCCUUGUAAUAUCCUUUUGAUUAGGUAUACACCUGCAAAUAGUGAAUUAGCUGAUCAUGUCGCAGCAACGCAAUGUAUAAAAGCAUGCAGACAUAGUCAAGAGGUUCAGUUGUUGUUCAGACCAAUCAUCAGAAUGGGAAAGGAAUGCCAUCUAAGUAACUUUGACUGCGGAAUGGUUGUUGGUGCCAAAUGGGGUGGGUUGAGUAUGUCAGAAACAACUGAUCUGUAAUUUUCUCGCAUAACAGUCUCUAGAGUUCACAAAGAAUGGUACAAAAAUGCGUUGAGAGGCAAUUAUGUAGGCAAAAAUGCCUUGUCAGAGGGGAAUGGCUGGGCUGAUUCAGGCCAACAGGGAGGUGACAAUAACUCAAAUAAACAUGUGUUACAACAGUGGUAUGCAGAAGAGCAUCUUUGAAUGCACAGAAUGUCAAACCUUGAAGUGAAUGAGCUACAGGAGCAGAAGACCAUGAACAUCCACUCAGUGGCCAUUUUAUUAGGUCAUUCUGGACAAACAUUGGUCCUUUCUUUACUUGUUUCCCAUUCUAAUAUUUACAUCCUAAACUCCAGCAAAUGAAUAUCUGAUCUUAAGAACCUGAACACCUUCUGGUCUCACUCUUCUGGUUACCAGUUCACUUAUGCUUCCAAGCUGCUCCUACAUCUGAUGCUAGAUUUGCAUGGAACCGUGAGAGGUGAUUGAAGGGAAGUGAUGCGUCUGAACUGAAAGUCUUUGACAGCUCAGGGACACAGAGGUAAGACAUCACCGCUACACCUCAGCAGCAGUAAGGAAGCUCUGUCUGAAGAAAUAGCAAGUUGACGGUCUGCUGUGAGGAAUGAGGCAGUAGAGGAUGCAGGCAAAAGCUCCAAGAAACAGUACCUUUCUUGGACGGCUGUUUCACUGACAUGACUGAAAUGCACAAGAUGUUAUUUACACUCGCCUUGCGAUGUCAUGCCUGUCAAAAAUCAUCUCAUCGAUUUUUGAAAUAGAAUACAAAAUGAAGUAGCAACUUAAGACGUUCACAGUAAAUACAAAGAAACACAAAAGAAUCUAUGAAAAUCUGCACACAAAGAUGGACAAAGAACCAAUGCGCAAAAGGUGCACUUCAGGAAUGCAUGACUAGCCCACUACUCUACUGUCUCUACAACCAGGACUCUGUGGCUAUGCACACCUCAAACAGUACUUAUAAACUUACCAAUGACACAACGACGACAGAAUUUCAGAUGGUGACGAUGAGGUGUAUAGGAGUGAAAUAAAUCAGCUGGUUGAGUGGUGUUGCAUCAACAAUCUCGCACUCAACCUCAGACAGAAUAAAGAACUGAUUGUGGACUUCAGAAAGGCAAGACAAGUGAGCACACACCAGCCCUCAUUGAGAGACCAGCAGUAGAAAGGCUGAGCAGUUUCAAGGUCCUCGGUGUCAAUGUCUCUGAUGACUUAUACUGGGCCCAACAUUUUGAUGCAGUUACAAAGAAGGCACAAUAGCGGCUAUAUUUCAAUUUGGUGCUUGAGGAGACCUGAUCUGUCACAAAAGACUCUAUCAAAUUUCUACAGAUGUACCACUGAGAGCAUUCCAACUAGUUCCAUCACUAUCUGGUAUGGAGGAGCAUUGCACAGGAUCAGAAAAAAGUGCUGUAGUUGCAUGCUUACCCAGCUCCAUCAUGGGCUCUAGUCUCUCCAGCAUCGAGGAUUUCCUCAAAAACCUGCAUCGAUCAUUAAGGACCCCCAUAACUCAGGAAAUGCCCUCUUCUCAUUGUUACCUGGAGGAGAUUCAGGAGUCUGAAGACACACACUCAUGUAUUAGGUACAACUUCUUCCCUUCCGCCAUCAGAUUUCUGAAUCACCAAUGAACCCAUUCAUUAUAGAUAGUAUAUACUUUUUUCUUAUUGUAGUUUGUAGUUUUUGUUUGUUAUUAUGUAUUGUACUGUACUGCUGCCACAAAACUAAAAAUUUCACAACAUAUUAAA